GCCCCGGUAGCUCAACGGAAGAGCAGUUCAACUGCAAAGUUGCGGAAAAACGGCAAGUGCCUUGGAAAGGUCGCCAGUUCAACUCUGGCCUGGGGCA